rnacentral:lncRNA from 13 species
GCCGGACCCUUGCUCUUCUAGGGGUCUUCUAGAAACGUGACGGCUAUCACAGGCCGCGUGGUAUAACUGGCAUUUGGAAAACGGGGGUGUCUUUCCAUCUGGAGUGGCCUCUCUCCUUUACUCAACCCUGCUUGUGCUUCGACGCCUGUAUCAGACGCCACCUCUACCAAGAAAUUUUUCCAGCUGCAGUCUCAUGCCUGCUACUUUUGAGUAAUGGAGUUCUCACUGUGAAGAGAGAGGUGAGAAGGAAGCAUUUCUGUUACAUGUAGCAAGGUGAAAAAUAAUAUUUCUAAAAGAGACAGUGUCAUGCUUUUCAAAAUAAAUAUUGUAGGUAAAACA